UACGAAGGGGGCUAGCGUUGUUCGGAAUCACUGGGCGUAAAGCGCACGUAGGCGGAUUUUUAAGUCAGGGGUGAAAUCCCGAGGCUCAACCUCGGAACUGCCUUUGAUACUGGAGAUCUUGAGUCCGGAAGAGGUAAGUGGAACUGCGAGUGUAGAGGUGAAAUUCGUAGAUAUUCGCAAGAACACCAGUGGCGAAGGCGGCUUACUGGUCCGGAACUGACGCUGAGGUGCGAAAGCGUGGGGAGCAAACGGGG
rnacentral:rRNA from 1 species